UGGGUAUAGUCUUUUCUAUGAUUUAUUAGGAAAUAUUUUAAUAUGUCAGAAUUGUAAGAUAGCAGCAUAAAAUACAGACUAAAAAUUAGUAUUAAAGCUAUACCU
rnacentral:SRP_RNA from 1 species